GCGCCCGCGGCGGACGCAGCGGUUCCCCGUAAAAGACUUUGCGGGCAGAGGGGUUCCGUACCGUCCGGUAUCGUAAGCACAGCUUACUUCAAAGCUUUUU
rnacentral:sRNA from 1 species